ensembl:lncRNA
GAAUCUGAUGCACAAGUUUUACGCACACAUCAGGUUUGUGAACCAAAGCUUGAUGGGGAGCAGAGGGCUGGCUGAACUGAUCCUAAAGAUGUCACAACUCCAGAGAGGCGUCCUACAGUGCACUGUAAAUGAACUCCCACUCAGCCAUUGUAGAGAAGGCAAUGAAACGCUCAUUUACAACACUGCAUAACAUCUGCAGGGUAACCAGUUCCAUCACAUAUAUUUCUAGGAUGUGCUCAUCCUUGACAUUUUGGCUUCCAUUUUUCCCAAGUGGGUUGCCUAACAACGGAUUUCCAGCAUGCUCCAAAGUGACUCAGCCAUCAUCUCUGCACUAGUCUGAUCGCCCUGCCACAAGUUCUCACUCACACAGAUCUCUACACCCACCUUCUGAAUCAGACCAGGAGCCAUAUCUUAUUAGUCAAGUGGCACGAAAGCUUUAACAGUAAUUACAGAAAUGUUUUUCCUCUGCUCUAAUUACAGUGUAUUCAGCAUUCUAUUAACCUUUAAAUUACUGCUAUUUUUCCAGUAAGGAACUGUAAUGAAUAGUUAAGAGAAAAGUUCUGUGAUUUCAGUGCAGAGAAAAUGAGCAAGAAACAAAGCAUGUCUGGUACAAAUACACUGCACUGAUGGGCACCACUGCCUCUCAUAGGCCAGGCCCUCAGCUUGGAUGGAUGAGAAUAUCUUCAUUGAUUCUGGGAGCCCAGAAUCUAUAAAGCACUGUUUUUAUUUAUUGCUACAGAAAAGAGACCUGGGACUCAAUCUGCUAAAUGCAGGGUGGCACGUACCUACGAGUUGGAAAUAGUGAGA